rnacentral:rRNA from 1 species
AAGCCUAACACAUGCAAGUCGAACGGACCCUUGGGGGAUAGUGGCGGACGGGUGAGUAACCGGGGGAACGUGCCCUUUGGUCGGAACAACUCAGGGAAACUUGAGCUAUACCGUAUGUGCCCUUCGGGGGAAAGAUUUAUCGCCAUUGGARCGGCCCGCGUCUGAUUAGCUAGUUGGUGAGGUAAAGGCUCACCAAGGCUACGAUCAGUAGCUGGUCUGAGAGGAUGAUCAGCCACACUGGGACUGAGACACGGCCCAGACUCCUACGGGAGGCAGCAGUGGGGAAUCUUGCGCAAUGGGCGAAAGCCUGACGCAGCCAUGCCGCGUGAAUGAUGAAGGUCUUAGGAUUGUAAAAUUCUUUCACCGGGGACGAUAAUGACGGUACCCGGAGAAGAAGCCCCGGCUAACUUGUGCCAGCAGCCGCGGUAAUACGAAGGGGGCUAGCGUUGCUCGGAAUUACUGGGCGUAAAGGGCGCGUAGGCGGACAGUUAAGUCGGGGGUGAAAGCCCGGGGCUCAACCUCGGAAUUGCCUUCGAUACUGGCUGUCUUGAGUACGGGAGAGGGUGGAACUCCGAGUGUAGAGGUGAAAUUCGUAGAUAUUCGGAAGAACA